UGGCAAGUAGGAAAAGAGCUGCUGCAGGCCAGACAGAAGCAGAGGAUGACUGAGCAGACUGGCAUGUACGACGAGUCUGCACUGAGGAGUCCAGCCAGGGUAACGACAGGAGAUCUGCCACCAAUAUAGUGCCAUUCCACUGACUGCAACAGUGGACAUCUGGAGCGCAUUAAGGCACUAAGGACAUUGGAUCUCCCCAGAGCGCCUGACUGGAUGGGUGGCCCACUGUAUCCCCCUUUCAGCAGCAGGGCCCAGCCCUACCUGAUUGAUAGAGGGAGCCCCACAUGAACACUUAACGCUCACACACACACACACACACACACACACACACACUGACAAAUCCCACACGGUUGACAUACAGCACGGACCAUUGUAACACUGCUGCUGCUGCUAACAAGGAUUAGUAUGGACACGUGUACUUCCACCUUUCACCGUGUAAAGUUUGGCCUAUCAAUCAUGCAUUGGGUCCUUGAUAUACUUAAUGUGCUGUACAUUCCUACCAUGUUAACCCACAUAUUACACAUGAAUUACGCAGGGGCAGAGCAGGGGUGGCUUCAGGUUUCAGCCCUGAAUGUUUUCUCAAAAGUCCAGAAUCUUUUAGGCUGUUAAAAUAACUUCAACUUUGUGUCAUAUCCCCUCGGUCUCUCUGACCGGACCACAGCAAAAGUUCUAUCACUGGGGAAAUAUCACCAGCUAAACUAGCUAUUCAGCCAUUUCUGCUGUGAACUCUACUCUUGCCCUUCCUAAGUCCCGCCCCUUUUUGCUUUGUGCUCCAAUAACAGUUGAGCCUUGGUCAGAACCUCAGUCAAUCUCCUCCUUUCCUGUACUUAGAUACGCUAUGUGCUGGGCUCGUCUCUGUUGAAAAGAUAAACUCAUUUUGAACAUAUUCAUGAGAUAAAAGCCACAUAUAUACUGUUAGCUAACUAGCUUGCUAAUCCACACCAACGUUAGCUAGCUAGUUAGGUAGAGUUUUGACUAACGUUAGCUAUUAGAGGUAACUAGCGAGUUAGCUAACUUAGGAUGUGACUUUAUACUGUAAAUGUUGCUUUUAUCUUUACAUCAUCUUCAGAAUUUGGUUGUCUUAGCGUCCAAUGCAUUACAUUUACCUCGGAAGUCUGACGUCGGAGAUGGGAAUGUCAUCACACCUCAGUUGGCCACGGUCGCGUACAAGACGGAAAACCAAGCUCUAGCCAUUAGCCAUUAAUAGCAAUACCAGUUGAUAACAACACUUUUCACUGUACUUUGCUCAUACCAACAUGUCCGCACACAGAAGUUGGACAGUCCAUUCUUAUGAUAGUAGGAGAGGAGAAAGUUGACCGAGGUUCUUUCUCAAAUAAUGUACAGACUGUAAGGCAUUCUAUUAUCUCAACUGGCUUGAUAUACAGUAUAUCUGUCGUAAAUGGGAAAAAAACAUGCUCCCAGACACCCCGAGGUUUGAGCUAAUGUUCAUAAAGUCUGCCUCCGCCCCUGGAAUUUAGAGCUAGCAUACUGCCUCUGUUGUCAUCAAUAAACACAAACUGGCAUGGUUUGAAUGUAAGUAAGAACUCCGGACAUAUGGAAGUAAUAUGGGAAUAUGAAUACAACUCUGAACUUCAUUGACAACAUGCAAUUUCCUCAGUGUCUGAAGAUUUCCAAAGCAUUCCCCAACACCUCAUUCACACAAAUGAAGAUGGGAAUCAAAGCCCAUCUUGUUUCUCAGAAUUGUACUUUUUCAUUAAAGCGUGGAAUAGACUUUUCUUUAUGAUUUCUUUUUCUGCAGAUGCUCCCCAUGCAAUGGGAAAACACAAACUUUUUCAAAGGAGGAAAGUUCAAAGAACCUCCUCAUUUCCAGUAAAUUGCUUUGCCUGAUUUGCCAUUUCAAAUAAAUUGCCGUGUUGGCCAAAAUUUGCAAUUCACAGGAAGUCGUCCCCUCAGCCGCACAGAAGAAGUUAAUCCAUAUUUCACGUUUGAAUAUAAGAUGGAAGCAGAGAAAAAAGGGGAAGGAAAGGGGAGAUAGGUAACUCCUUGCCAGGAGAUGAGGAGCGGAAAAGGAGGGGUGGCGGGAGAAGCUGUGGGAGUGGAGAAAAGGCGAGAGAAUGGGAAGAAACAGGCGCCAUUUAGAGUAAAUGGCAUCCAAAAACCCUCUCCAAUUAUCUUUGCCUACCAUGCCAGUGAGACUGACUUAAUUAAAACGACUUGAGAGGGAGGGGAGAGAGGAAGGAACUGCCAGUGAUUGAGGGGGCAGGCAGGCGACGUAUCUGCACCGAAACACAAAGCUCAGGCAUCGCACAGGCUGCCGACCACUCUCCCUUUUCAAUUCCCGACUUCAAAAGAGAAUAAAGAAAUAAUAAUAAAAAAGAGAGGGGGCUCUCACCAUUCGCAGCCAUGUAAUUGCGCUAUUUAAUUCCUACAUUUUUAUCAUUGUUGGAAUAUUGGUUGGGGGGGAAAGAGGAAUGUAUAAAAAUGGAUAAUAAAACAGCUUUUUUUUUGUUCUUGUCUGACUCCCCCCCCCCAUAAUCCUUCUGCCUUUUUCUGAGAAAAAACCUCUGACAGUGACCUUUUCGCAUGAGGUCUGUUUCUAUGGAAACCACGUCCUGCCCCUCUAUGUUUGGUGUUUUCCUGUCAUCGGGUGGGCAAAACUGGCCCACUUGUGACUAAGAGGAAGAAUGCAUCACAUUUAAAGAUUUGUGUGUUUCUUUUAUUUCAUGUUUCCACUCGUGUGUAUCUGCAGUCCUGGGCAGAGGCAGAAAAAGCUGUAAAGAUGGGAAAUUUUGCAGACAAUAUGACCUUUGGCAACAUGAUUUCUGUUUUUGACUUGUGCACUAGAUUGCAGAAAAAAUAAACCUCAAAGCAUCAACUCACCUGAGUCAAUUUCAAGAUGCAGCUGAGGUAUUUAACGUUUUAGAGGUUAGUAACUACCAGAUUUGUUCAAAAUUAAUUCUAAAUCAUUA